rnacentral:tRNA from 1 species
GGGAUGUAGCUCAGUGGUAGAGUGCUUGCCUCGCCUGCACUGGGCCCUGGGUUCAAUCUCAUAACCCAAUCAUUUCA